UAAUACAUGCAAGUCGAACGCUUCUUUCCUCCCGAGUGCUUGCACUCAAUUGGAAAGAGGAGUGGCGGACGGGUGAGUAACACGUGGGUAACCUACCCAUCAGAGGGGGAUAACACUUGGAAACAGGUGCUAAUACCGCAUAACAGUUUAUGCCGCAUGGCAUAAGAGUGAAAGGCGCUUUCGGGUGUCGCUGAUGGAUGGACCCGCGGUGCAUUAGCUAGUUGGUGAGGUAACGGCUCACCAAGGCCACGAUGCAUAGCCGACCUGAGAGGGUGAUCGGCCACACUGGGACUGAGACACGGCCCAGACUCCUACGGGAGGCAGCAGUAGGGAAUCUUCGGCAAUGGACGAAAGUCUGACCGAGCAACGCCGCGUGAGUGAAGAAGGUUUUCGGAUCGUAAAACUCUGUUGUUAGAGAAGAACAAGGACGUUAGUAACUGAACGUCCCCUGACGGUAUCUAACCAGAAAGCCACGGCUAACUACGUGCCAGCAGCCGCGGUAAUACGUAGGUGGCAAGCGUUGUCCGGAUUUAUUGGGCGUAAAGCGAGCGCAGGCGGUUUCUUAAGUCUGAUGUGAAAGCCCCCGGCUCAACCGGGG
rnacentral:rRNA from 1 species